GACGAACGCUGGCGGCGUGCUUAACACAUGCAAGUCGAACGGAAAGGCCCUGCUUUUGUGGGGUGCUCGAGUGGCGAACGGGUGAGUAACACGUGAGUAACCUGCCCUUGACUUUGGGAUAACUUCAGGAAACUGGGGCUAAUACCGGAUAGGAGCUCCUGCUGCAUGGUGGGGGUUGGAAAGUUUCGGCGGUUGGGGAUGGACUCGCGGCUUAUCAGCUUGUUGGUGGGGUAGUGGCUUACCAAGGCUUUGACGGGUAGCCGGCCUGAGAGUGUGACCGGCCACAGUGGGACAGAGAUACGGCCCAGAGCACUACGGGAGACAGCAGUGGGGAAUAUUGCACGAUGGACGGAAGCCUGAUGCAGCAACGCCGCGUGCGGGAUGACGACCUUCUGGUGGUAAACCGCUUUCGCGUGUGACGAAGCGUGAGUGACGGUAAUGUGUAAAGAAGCACCGGCUAACUACGUG
rnacentral:rRNA from 1 species